GGAAGCCAAAGCAGUUGAUUUUCAAAAAAAAAAGAGAAGAAAUGCAGCCGCAAUUUUCGAAGACGCCACGAGAAAAAGGAGCGGUUGGGGAGACGGAGCGCAACAAACCGUGGGACAAGCUCCAUCAUCCCCAGCCAAUAGCGCACGGAGUUACCUUUCGCAACGGCUUCGGAAGAGAGACGCACAAAAGAACUGCUAGUAGCCUCACUACCUGAGAAAGGAUGAAGGCAGUGGUGGCAAUUUCACAGCUCAUCACAAGUGAAGCGAUGGAGAGGCAGCCAGGGCUGCAGCACUGUCUCAACCUUGGAUUGGUCGAUAUAUAGUUUCAGGAAUGAUCGACGCAAGUCAUUUGUACUACAAGCUUUUCUUUGGGAAAGCUUAGAGGAAAAUUGAAGAAAAAAUGUCACUCUUCAUGGGCAAGGAAACAGUAAUGUGAAAGUAUUUGAUCUUCCCCAGAGGGGAAAAAAAACUUAGCAUCAUUCCAAGCAGUCUUCCACAGCAUGGCCUUGUGGAAGUGGGUGAGCAAGGGACCUGUGUUGGUGACGGGAGGCUGCUGUGAGAGGGGUGUUAGGUGCGCAGGCUCUUCCUGCAAGGCAAAAGCUGGAAAGAGAUUAUUUGGGGCCUCAGUUGAAGCUAAGGAGACAGGAAUGAGCUGCAAUAACCCUGGUUGGGAUACCUGUCAAAUCUUUGGGAUAAGAGAUUGGAGAGAUAUCCAAUUAAGCCACUUCUGCCUCUGCUAGCAAAAAGUUUGAAAAUUUGACUGGAGAUAAUAAGGGCAAAGGCUGGCAGUGGUGGCCGGAGGCGUGGUGGCCAGCGUCAUAAAGUGAAAUCUCAAGCAGCUAUUGUGACUCCAGCUGGUGGCUGCUGAACAUCUUUUCAGUAAUUGAGAAAUUCACAUCUCCCUCUCCAUUUCUUCAAUUCAAAAACCAGUAUUAAGAAUCACAGUGCUGUGUUUUCCUUUUUGAGCCGCACAUAAGAACUACUUAGGCUAUCAUUGUGUCAACAUUAAAAAGAACAAUUUGGUAAAAAGGAAAAAUUUCUUGUUCUCUCCAUUUUAAAGGAAAUGGGAUAUUACUUCACUAAUCCUGGUUCAUAAAAUGUAAAUCAGGUUAGAUGUAAUUUGUAAAUAUGUUUCAUAUGGCUGAAGUUUCUUCCCUGAAAAGUCUUGAAGGCUAGCUGGUUGUUUUCCUAAACUGGAGAUUUACUAAAAUGCUUCCAGAACCUUUUUUCAAUCGAAUUGACAAAAGAAACUUGUGCCAUAAGAAAAAUCCUGCUGAAUCAAAUCUCCCUUUUUCUAUAUUGUGACUUAAGGGGGUGUUCAAAAACAUGAACAAAAUCAGGUGUUUACAACUGUCUUUCAUUCUGAAGGUAUUAUAGUUUCACUGAAAUCAGUAGCUCUACAGAUUUGACUAGCUUUUAAAAAACAAUCUAAACCAGUAUCACCAAUCACAUUCAUCUAAUAGAAAAAAAUUCUGUGUGCUUUAUAAAAAAUUGCCUUAUCUUUUAUCUCCCUGAGUUUCACGCUGAUGCAUAAUAGCCAAGUUCUGGUAUUUUUAGGAAAAUUUCUACAUAGCUUUUAUAUACAUUUAUCAAAUUUUGAAUGAAAAAUAGUUUAUCGUCUUUUCAAGUUAAAAGACAGCUUCAUUAUUUUGGGUAUCCUAUUUACAUUCUUCCUAGCACUACAAAAGAGAUGCAAUGACUAGAAUUCUAUGAAGUAUUCCAAGGGCUAUUUAUAACAGCUGUUCAUAAGAAAAUAAGUUCAAAGCUAUUGCUAUUUUGAAAACCUCUGAUUGGAAAAGUUGCAAUCCUCAUUUUAGUUAAGCCUUGACAUCAAAUGUUUUCUUAAAAUUAAACUACAGUAGUUUAAACAGCAGUAUAAAUUGCUUUUUUAAUUAUAUAACUUUUUCAGCAGUUCGUAUUGACAUGCGGGGGAGAGGGGAUAUCAGUAUGUCCGCAUAUGAUCUGUAGUCUAUUUGACA